ACGAACGCUUGCGGCGUGCUUAAAACAUGCAAGUCGAACGGAAAGGCCCUGCUUUUGUGGGGUGCUCGAGUGGCGAACGGGGGAGUAACACGUGAGUAACCUGCCCUUGACUUUGGGGUAACUUCAGGGAACUGGGGCUAAUACCGGAAAGGAGCUCCUGCUGCAUGGGGGGGGGUGGAAAGUUUCGGCGGUUGGGGAUGGACUCGCGGCUUAUCAGCUUGUUGGUGGGGUAGUGGCUUACCAAGGCUUUGACGGGUAGCCGGCCUGAGGGGGUGACCGGCCACAUUGGGACUGAGAUACGGCCCAGACUCCUACGGGAGGCAGCAGUGGGGAAUAUUGCACAAUGGGCGGAAGCCUGAUGCAGCAACGCCGCGUGCGGGAUGACGGCCUUCGGGUUGUAAACCGCUUUCGCCUGUGACGAAGCGUGAGUGACGGUAAUGGGUAAAGAAGCACCGGCUAACUACGUG
rnacentral:rRNA from 1 species